GGGGCUUCAUCAUUGAUUUGGCUAAGCUUUCUUUCUCCUUCUGGUACUUGUAACUUGUGAUGUUUUCCAUUAAUGAAAUUAUGAGUUUGAUUGUUAUAUAAUUCAUGAGUAGCUAAAUUUCUAUAUCUAGGAAGUAGAUGAAACUUAUGGCCAAGUGAUAUGAAUUGAAUGAGAUUUACACUUGUUGUAUCUUUUAUUAACUUGUCUUCUUGUGCAUGUUGAUUACUUGUUGUUGUUUGAUUAUCAAUAGUAAGUUUAUAGUUGUUAUUACUCAAUGAGAAUUGGUAAUAACAAUGGAAUAACUGAGUAGAGCUUGAGUUGUAGGUUCAUGAGAAUAGAAAUACAUUCAAGUGGAUUAAAUUUACAUUUCAUGAAUGAAGUAAGAAUAGAGUUAGUUAUUCACCAAGAGAUUAGGGAAAACUAGGCUUUUCUAGACCAUUAUUAUCAUGAGAAUGAUAUUUUCGCAAUUUUAGAAAUGAAUCUCUAGUUAAACAAGAGUAGUAACAAGUGUUAAAUUCAUUCAAUUGGAUCUUUUGUGCCAUAAGUGGAAUCUAUAUCCCUAGAUUCAAGUCUUUAGUGAAUUUUCUCCA
rnacentral:lncRNA from 1 species